AGCGAACGCUGGCGGCAGGCCUAACACAUGCAAGUCGAACGAACUCUUCGGAGUUAGUGGCGGACGGGUGAGUAACACGUGGGAACGUGCCUUUAGGUUCGGAAUAACUCAGGGAAACUUGUGCUAAUACCGAAUGUGCCCUUCGGGGGAAAGAUUUAUCGCCUUUAGAGCGGCCCGCGUCUGAUUAGCUAGUUGGUGAGGUAAAGGCUCACCAAGGCGACGAUCAGUAGCUGGUCUGAGAGGAUGAUCAGCCACAUUGGGACUGAGACACGGCCCAAACUCCUACGGGAGGCAGCAGUGGGGAAUCUUGCGCAAUGGGCGAAAGCCUGACGCAGCCAUGCCGCGUGAAUGAUGAAGGUCUUAGGAUUGUAAAAUUCUUUCACCGGGGACGAUAAUGACGGGACCCGGAGAAGAAGCCCCGGCGAACUUCGU
rnacentral:rRNA from 1 species